rnacentral:tRNA from 1 species
GCGGAUGUGGCGGAAUUGGUAGACGCGCUAGCUUCAGGUGCUAGUGUACGUAAGUACGUGAAGGUUCAAGUCCUUUCAUCCGCACCA